GCGAGGCCGAAAGGCGUAGUCGAUGGGAAACAGGUUAAUAUUCCUGUACUUGGUGUUACUGCGAAGGGGGGACGGAGAAGGCUAUGUUGGCCGGGCGACGGUUGUCCCGGUUUAAGCGUGUAGGCUGGUUUUCCAGGCAAAUCCGGAAAAUCAAGGCUGAGGCGUGAUGACGAGGCACUACGGUGCUGAAGCAACAAAUGCCCUGCUUCCAGGAAAAGCCUCUAAGCAUCAGGUAACAUUAAAUCGUACCCCAAA
rnacentral:rRNA from 1 species